AGAGUUAAGUACAAAAUUUUAUUUUCUCAUGGCAUGUUAUAUUGAGAUGUGUUAAUUUUUAAAGUUGUUAUUCCGUUUUUACGGCUUUUCUGUUCUGUUCGUGGUGUAUAUCCAGGCCACCCUCACUAGGACACCGGUGGGCUUUAGGGACCCCCUGGGGAUUUUUUCCCCCUUCCUCUAUUCCUGUCCCCCUUGCCUCGCGGCUCCCCACCGCAUUCAGGAACCG